rnacentral:rRNA from 1 species
UACGAAGGGUGCAAGCGUUACUCGGAAUUACUGGGCGUAAAGGGUUCGUAGGUGGCUCGCUAAGUCAGACGUGAAAUCCCUCAGCUUAACUGGGGAACUGCGUCUGAGACUGGCGAGCUCGAGUGCAGGAGAGGAACGCGGAAUUCCAGGUGUAGCGGUGAAAUGCGUAGAUAUCUGGAGGAACACCGGUGGCGAAGGCGGCGUUCUGGACUGCAACUGACACUGAUGAACGAAAGCCAGGGGAGCAAACGGG